UACAGGGGGUGCAAGCGUUGCUCGGAAUCACUGGGCGUAAAGGGCGUGUAGGCGGGAAGGAUAGUCAGAUGUGAAAGCCCUGGGCUCAACCCAGGAACUGCAUUUGAAACUCCCUUUCUUGAGUGUCGGAGAGGAAAGCGGAAUUCCUGGUGUAGAGGUGAAAUUCGUAGAUAUCAGGAGGAACACCGGUGGCGAAGGCGGCUUUCUGGACGACAACUGACGCUGAGACGCGAAAGCGUGGGGAGCAAACAGG
rnacentral:rRNA from 1 species